rnacentral:lncRNA from 10 species
GUGGAUUCCUGAUAAAAUCCACUCCCAAAAACGCAAGAAGACCCUCACUAGAUGGACUCCUCGAUCUUGGAUUUCCCAGAACUGGGAAGCCGGUCAUCAUAUCAUGAGGACAAUCCUGCAGCCCUAUGGAGAAGCCCACAUGGAGAAGUGGUACCUUCUUGACCAAAAGUAAACUUGUCAACCAUGUUAGUGAGUCACCUUAGAAUCAGAUCUUCCGGCCUCAGUCAAGCCAGAUGAUUAAGGCCCUGACUGACAUGGGGCUGCACCCUCAAAAGACUACAAACUGCUCAGCCAAACUAUUCCUAAAUCCCUAAUCCACAGAAACAUGAGAGAUAAU